AGCGAUGGAGGGGGGCUACCGGCAAGAUCGUGGCACCCAUCUCCAUGAGGAUGACAAAGGAGUGCCACCCACUACUCUCCGCGAGGUUUCUAUCUCGCGUACGCUUUCUCGCGAUCCACAAGCCGGGAGCGCUGCUUGUUCAACCUAACACGUCAAUGAUGUCUUACCGUAAAAGGUCUGAAAAUGAUUCCACACUGAUGGAUCGUCAUUGCUUUGGUUCAAGAUGCGUGAAUACAUAUCAAGCCGAUCAUCGUGGAAGAAAAUUGGAGAAAACUGAAGCUUCCAAGUAAAUUGUGGGAGUUGAAAUAAGAAGGAACACUUUCUACAAACUAUUUGACAUCAUACUAGAGAAUAAAAUUAGGUAUCUGGAAAGAAGAAUGAAGUCUGCAAAAUGAUCGUUGAGAUCAAAUAAGUAUAAAUGGUGCUGAUGUUGGAGCGGGUGGAAUGUAUUGACAUGACAUAAAGGAGUUGAAAUUAGAAGGAAGGCGUUCAAAGUUUUUGUGAAUUGCUUGUAUUGGGUGGUGCCAAAUAAUCGAGGGUGGUGGAAGGAUGAUAGAAAUUAAAGGUUCCCUGUGCACGCGGUGAUUGGUAUGUUAUUUUGGUUGAUAAAAUUAUGAAAAUCAAUUUAAUCUAAUUUUUAAUUGUCUACCUCUUGCUAAGUUUGUAGCUAGUUGGUGGAUUUGGAGUUCAGGAGAUUCGUUUCAAGUGUAUAGCGUCUAGGCUUGAUGUCUACGGUAGUCACUAAUAUGUUUCGAUUUUUGACAGUCCAUGCUAAUAAUCUCCUCUCUCUGAUAAUUUUUCUGUUGAUAUCCUUAAUGAGAUCUUGUUAUCUCGAUUUUUUUUUAAAAUAUUGAUUACAUUAUAUCUAUUUUACGUUUAAGGCAUAUUCCUUGGCCGAUCUUAUGCAGUUGGUGCUCAUUGCUUCAUGUAUUUACUUGAAGGUAUCUACUUAGACGCUGGAAAGAAAAAAGUAAAGUAAGAGUAAUGUGCAAUUUUAGACAGCAAACCAAUUGGAUACUUGCAGGCCCAGAAAUGAAUGACUACAUUUCUUAAUGAUGCGAAA